rnacentral:rRNA from 1 species
UACAGAGACUGCAAGCGUUAUUCGGAUUCACUGGGCGUAAAGGGUGCGCAGGCGGUUGGGUGUGUCAGAUGUGAAAUCCCGAGGCUUAACCUCGGAACUGCGUCUGAAACUACUCGACUAGAGUACUGGAGAGGGAAACGGAAUUCACGGUGUAGCAGUGAAAUGCGUAGAUAUCGUGAGGAACACCAGAGGCGAAGGCGGUUUCCUGGACAGUUACUAGACGGCUCAGGCACGAAGCAUGGGGAGCAAAAGGG